rnacentral:lncRNA from 1 species
UCAAGUGAGAGCAUGUCUUAUAAUGAGAGAUGAGAGGGAUAAUUAAUAUCCAUUGGAUGAUAAUACAUGGCUAAGAUUUAAUUACUCCCCUCUAUUCCUUUUGCAGCAAAACAUCUUCUCCUCUCCCACUCUUGUUCCAUCUCUUCCAUUAUUUUCUGGAAAUCGUUAAAUAAGGAUUUACUCCCAAUCUCAUCGAAGUUUUCUGGAAACCUUUACGAUCAAGGAUUUACUCCCAAUCUCAUCGAAAUAAAAAAAGAAAAAAGGAAAAGGAAAUCAGUCUCCCUGCAUCUAAUUAACCCAGCCCUUUUGAAUGCUUUCCAAUUUCCACUUUUGCAUCUAAUAAGUAACAAAGCUAAAUGACACCAAGUCAAAAUUCUCAUACAAUUGGAUUAACACUAAUAAAUGGAAGAAAAACAAAGUUCUGUUGAAGAAAAUGGUUUCAAAUAGUUUCAACUUGCAGAAAACUUUGUCCAAAACAUUGCCAUCAAUUUUUACCACUUUGUUUUCAGUUGGGAAAGUGGUUUCAACACGUUACAAGAUCUGAUCGUGACAUUAGUUUCAAGAUGCCACAUGAACAAUAGCAUAAUUUCAAAAUCGAAGAAAAAAAAUAGAAAUCGCAAGUUCGCAACGA